GACGAACGCUGGCGGCGUGCCUAAUACAUGCAAGUAGAACACUGAAGCUUGGUGCUUGCACCGAGCGGAUGAGUUGCGAACGGGUGAGUAACGCGUAGGUAACCUGCCUGGUAGCGGGGGAUAACUAUUGGAAACGAUAGCUAAUACCGCAUAAUAGUAGAUGUUGCAUGACAUUUGCUUAAAAGGUGCAAUUGCAUCACUACCAGAUGGACCUGCGUUGUAUUAGCUAGUUGGUGAGGUAACGGCUCACCAAGGCAACGAUACAUAGCCGACCUGAGAGGGUGAUCGGCCACACUGGGACUGAGACACGGCCCAGACUCCUACGGGAGGCAGCAGUAGGGAAUCUUCGGCAAUGGACGGAAGUCUGACCGAGCAACGCCGCGUGAGUGAAGAAGGUUUUCGGAUCGUAAAGCUCUGUUGUAAGAGAAGAACGAGUGUGAGAGUGGAAAGUUCACACUGUGACGGUAUCUUACCAGAAAGGGACGGCUAACUACGUG
rnacentral:rRNA from 1 species